AGAGUUUGAUCAUGGCUCAGGAUUAACGUUGGUAGUAUGCCUAACACAUGCAAGUCGAGCGGAAGUAACUAGCAAUAGUUUCUUUAGCGGCGAACGGGUGAGUAAUGCUUAUUUUACUUACCAAUUAGUGGGGGAUAACUGUGGGAAACCAUAGCUAAUACCGCAUUUGUUACUUCGGUAAUUAAAGGAAUUUUUAAUUUCGCUAAUUGAUAGGGAUAAGUCGUAUUAGUUUGUUGGUGGGGUAAUGGCCUACCAAGACGAUGAUGCGUAGCCGACCUGAGAGGGUGAACGGCCACAAGGGAACUGAGAUACGGUCCCUACUCCUACGGGAGGCAGCAGUGAGGAAUUUUUCGCAAUGGGGGAAACCCUGACGAAGCAAUACUACGUGAAGGAUGAAAGUCGACAGAUUGUAAACUUCUGUGGACGUGGAAGAAGGGUUAUUAAUUAGCCUUGACGGUACACGUUUAGAAAGCGACGACUAACUAUGUGCCAGCAGUCGCGGUAAGACAUAGGUCGCAAACGUUAUCCGGAAUUAUUGGGCGUAAAGGAUGCGUAGACUGCGAAUUAAGUUAUUGGUGGGAAAACAAAGCUCAACUUUGUGGAAGCUGAUAAUACUAGUUUGCUUGAGUACGGGAGAGGUCAACGGAACUCCAUGUGGAGCGGUGAAAUGCGUAGAUAUAUGGAAGAACACCAAAAGGCGAAGGCAGUUGACUAUUCCGUUACUGACGUUGAGGCAUGAAAGCGUGGGGAUCAAAAAGGAUUAGAUACCCUUGUAGUCCACGCUGUAAACGAUGAGUGCUAGAUAUUGGAUUUUUCAGUGUCGCAGUUAACACAUUAAGCACUCCGCCUGGGUAGUACGCUCGCAAGAGUGAAACUCAAAGGAAUUGACGG
rnacentral:rRNA from 1 species